rnacentral:rRNA from 1 species
AUACGUAGGGUGCAAGCGUUAAUCGGAAUUACUGGGCGUAAAGCGUGCGCAGGCGGUUUUGUAAGAAAGUGGUGAAAACCCCGGGCUCAACCUGGGAACUGCCAUUGCGACUGCAAGGCUGGAGUGCGGCAGAGGGGGAUGGAAUUCCGAUAGUAUCAGUGAAAUGAGUAGAUAUGCGGAGGAACACCGAUGGCGAAGGCAAUCCCCUCUGCCUGCUGUGACGCUCAUGCCCGAAGGCCUGGGGCUCUAGCCGGAUUAGAUGCCCUUUUAGUCCACGCCCCAAACGAUUUCAUCUGGUUGUUUGGUAUUUCGCUUCUCAGUGCCGAACGUAACGUGUGAACUUUCCCGCCUGGGGAGUAACGCCGCAAGGUUAUAACUCAAAGGAAUUCACGGGG